UCGGGAGUGCCCUCGUGGCUUAACCUGCAACCCAAUGUUUUACAAACCCUUGUUUCUUUGGCGGGCUCGCCCGUCAGAAGAAUUCUCAAACUCAUUAUAAACGUGUCUUCUGAACAAAAUUUUAAUAAAAAUUA
rnacentral:misc_RNA from 1 species